GUUGGCUUAUGCCAGGAGGAAUUUUUUAAUAGCCAGUAAGCAACAGGAUGCAUUGUGCUUGUUUUUUAGUUCUCUACUGUCAGGGCGGUGAGGCACUGUCAUAGGUUGCCCAGAGAAGCUGUGGAUGCCCCAUCCCUGGAGGUGCUCAAGGCCAGGCUGGAUGGGACUUUGGGCAGCCUGGUCUGGUGGGAGGUGUCCCUGCCCAUGGCAGGAACUGGGUGGUCUUUAAGUUCCCUUCCAACCCAAACUAUUCUGUGAUAAAGCACAGGUACAUAGCAAAGGUUUCCAGGUGUGCCAAUUAUAACCAGAUUUAAGAGGCAAAAGCUGCAAGCUAGAUUGCUGCAAGAAGGUAGAAAGGAAAGCUGAACCAGGGAGCAUCCGCCUCCGAGCAGACAGCAGAAAUAAGUGCUGCCUGUAUGAGAUGCCAGAACCAGCACUCCCUCUGAGCCUUCAUGAUAGGGGUAAAAUGCUUCUGUGCUGCCUGAGAGAAGGAAAAGCAGCUGGAAAGGAAACAAAACCAGGAGCACCAGCCAUUCCCAGCUCAGAGCAGACGCUCCUGCUUCACGGUCUGUCUUCCUCUCCAGAGGAUUAUGUGCUACAAAAGUUGCUGGUUUCCAGAAAAACAAGAGGACCUGUGGUGUCUGCAUCGAACAUAUUCCUCAGAGAACCAGAAAUCUCCAGUGGAGAAAGAGGUGGGUUCUUGUUAAGCGCUGGAAAUAGGCUGAAAUGUAAAUGUGUAUUCCUUUCUGCAACGUGCCUAAUUGCCCAUAAAUGUCAUUAA
rnacentral:lncRNA from 1 species